ensembl:lincRNA
CGUCAGGCUGUGGAAAAUGGACGUUUCUGUAGGGCAGCGGUCCUUCGUGUGGGGUCCUGGAAUCAGCUUGAUAGACAUGCAUGUUCUCGAGCCUACCCCACACCUAGGGAGUCACUGUGGGUUGGGAGCCAGCAGUCUGCGUUUUAGAAGGCCUUGCAAUGGGUUCUUCUGCACGACCAGCUUGAGAGAGCACAUCACCAUGGAGCCUGAGUUGGGGUCCCCACCUGUCAUGGGGUGGCAUCUCUCCUCUCCCUAUCUGUGUUUACUGUUUUUCUCCUUGGUGAUGGUGAUGGGCAGCUGGACUGUUCCAGAUAAAGGAUGAUUUCCAUUUCCCAAGGCUUCCUCCCUGAAAAUCCUGGCACAUUUGAAAUCACAACCCUGGAGAAGUCAACCGGCUGCAUUUGGGGGACUGAGCCCUUCAGGGUUAACCCCGCCUUGGAUUAAAAACAGUAUUGAAAGCCCUGGCGUCAUCUUACAUUACCAAGGGGCCUCACUGGACAGAUGCUCAGGCUGGGAACUCUGAGGAUAGAAAGGCGGAGAAGGUUGUGUCCACUCAAGGGAGGCAUAGACUGAGACUCUGUAGAAAACAACUUUGAAGUCUCAGAGCCAUGUGAGUGUAUGUGUGUGGUUGUGAUUGUGUGUGUGUUGCUACUCUCUGUGUGGUUUGAGGGGUGGGGGGAGAAGGGAGAGAAAGAACAGCUUCCUCUUCAGGGAGAAGAGUUUCAAGAGUAGCAAGGCUGGGCUCCUGUGAUCAAAGGACAGGAAGACACACUCAGCUGGCUUUGAGCAGGGCUUGCUGGGAAAUGCCAUAGUGUGUGUUCCUGGCUCAGUCCCUGGGGGCAGGGGCAGCGGUCCCCCUCCCUGCUUUCUGAAAUCUUCUCCGGUGGUGUCUCCCACCAUCUCUGCUUCUCCCACAAUCUCCCACCCUGCAGAUUCCCAAGCAGGUGAGGUCUCCUUAGGCAGUGGCUGGUGGCACCCCGCCACCCCAUCCCGGAGCCUCUGUGGACAACUCCAGAGAUGUCCCCGGUGCACAGAGGGUUAACCUAGUGGGCUGGGGGGUGGGGGUGCUGCACAUUCAAAAAAAAAAAAAAAAAANNNNNNNNNNNNNNNNNNNNNNNAAAAAAAAAAAAAAAAAAGCCCAAGAACCAGACUGGUCUCCUGGGAGGGAACUGCUAAGCCCUUGGAAUGUCCCUUUAAGGGUGUCUUUGCUUACCUGGGGACUCUGGCUGGCCAGGGCAUCUACUCCAACAACAUGAUUUAUGCUGAACACCUGCUUCUGCCACCAGCCUCCCUCCAUCAGUCUGACCUCUGGAGGGGAUGAAGGCGACCUGGGUGCUCCGUGCCUGGGGGAACAACUCCCAGAAAAACCCUGGAUCGCAAGGCUCCGGUAACUCUCCAGGCUCCCUCUUAUACCCACCAGAAAAGCCAGGAUCGCUUUGCUUUUUGAAAAUGGCGCUGACUUCAUUAACAAAAUGAAGACGUGUCAAAACAUGUCGAGCUCGCCGGAAAUGGUGGUAUGUUUUGAUCAGCUACAUUUAACAGAUGAGGGCUCUGAUACUCACAACCGGUCAGGUGAUGCGAUCACCCUGAAACAGACAAGAGGGGGCUCAGGAAAGAGGAAGGAUUUCUGGUGCAUCGCAGGAUGGCCCAGGCCUUGGGUCUUGAGCAUCCAGAUGGCUUACUUCUGAGACCGAAAGUCCACCUGGAAAUGCCCAUUGAUUGGAGGGGGUAGCCGUCUGCGGGUUCCACGCAGCCUGCAUAGUUUCUAAGGGGUCAUUUUUAGUAAAUGCAGUGAAAGGCUGAAAAAGUUGUAAUAGGAUCUCCUUUGUUGGUCAAAGAAUAAGAUACCCCAGGGGCACCUGGCUGACUCAGUCAGGGGAGCACGCAACUCUUGACAUUGGGGUCUGAGUUCGAGCCCCAUGUUGAGGGGUAGAGUUUACUUAAUAAAAAAAAUUUUUUUUAAAUACCCCCAAAUAACUUUUGUAUCUGUGUAUGUGUCCACAGCAGGCUUUGCUGAACAAAGAGGAAUGUGAAAGUUGAGUCGGAGUUCAAGAGGUAGGGGCAGGAGCACAGCCAAAUACUGACUUCGUGACUCGGCUUUGUGACCUCUCUGGGCCUCAGUGUCCUCAUCUGUAAAAUGGAGAUAAUAAGAUCUGCCUUGCAGAGUACACGGAAAAGGCUUCUAACAGCUCCUGGCACAGGCAGCGUUCAGUACAAGGUGUGGGGCGUUAACCUGGUUGUGUAGGGAGAAGAGGUUUGUGGGUCCAGACCACAAAGUUGGUAAAAGAUCACUGCUCCGUGAUAAUGUUCGUCCGCUCACUUCAAGUCUUUUGUGCGUAUAAAGAAAUAAAGUAGAAACACUUUUUAAAAAGAAAAUUGCAGGGGUGCCUGGGUGGCUCAGUCGGUUAAAGCCUGCUGCCUGCCUCUCUGCCUACUUGUGCUCUCUGUCUGUCAAAUAAAUAAAUAAAUAAUCUUUAAAGAAAAGAAAAGAAGGAAUGCACAUGUGAACAAACAACAGAUGGUUUUCAUUGGGUUUCCGUAAAGAGAAAACAGCACUGUGGGCAGGAGUCUAAUCUCCGGAGGUCCGAACUGAGUUCAAGUUCUGAUCUCUCCUGGGGCUCCCCCUUACUGACUGUGUGACCUUAGGUGUGUCUCUCAGCUCCAUGGGCGUUGCUUUCCCCGACUGGACGGGGAGGGGGGAAGUAGCCCCUCCCUCACAGGAUGUCAUUGAAGUUUCUUUCUUUUUUUUUUUUUUAAGAUUUUAUUUAUUUAUUUGACAGAGGGAGAGAGAUCACAAGUAGGCAGAGAGGCAGGCAGAGAGAGAGGGGGAAGCA